rnacentral:rRNA from 1 species
UGGGGAAUAUUGGACAAUGGGGGAAACCCUGAUCCAGCAACGCCGCGUGAGUGAUGAAGGCCUUCGGGUCGUAAAGCUCUGUUGAGAGGGAAGAAUGGGCCGUCUUAUAAACGGCUUUGACGUUACCUCUUGAGGAAGCACCGGCUAACUCUGUGCCAGCAGCCGCGGUAAUACAGAGGGUGCAAGUGUUGUUCGGAAUUAUUGGGCGUAAAGCGCGCGUAGGUUGUUUGGUUAGUCGAAUGUGAAAGCCCUGGGCUCAACCCAGGAACUGCAUCCGAAACAGCCAAACUAGAGUUCGGUAGAGGAGAGUGGAAUUCCCGGUGUAGAGGUGAAAUUCGUAGAGAUCGGGAGGAACACCAGUGGCGAAAGCGGCUCUCUGGGCCGAAACUGACGCUGAGGCGCGAAAGCGUGGGGAGCAAACAGGAUUAGAUACCCAUGUAGUCCCUGAGCGGGCUGGCAAGGCGCAU